UACAGAGGGGGCAAGCGUUAUUCGGAAUUAUUGGGCGUAAAGGGCGCGUAGGCGGCUUGGCAAGUGGAUGGUGAAAUCCCUCGGCUUAACUGAGGAACUGCCGUCCAAACUGCUUUGCUUGAGACCGGGAGAGGAGUAGUGGAAUUCCCAGUGUAGUGGUGAAAUACGUAGAGAUUGGGAAGAACACCAGUGGCGAAGGCGGCUAUCUGGACGGUUCUGACGCUAGAGCGAAAGCGUGGGGAGCAAACAGGG
rnacentral:rRNA from 1 species